rnacentral:lncRNA from 1 species
AUGGCAUGGGAAAAGGAAGGUUCGAGCUUCAUAAGGGGAACAAAAAGCAAAAUCAACCCCUAUUUUAAGGAAAAUGGGUCAUGGUAUAAUUUCCUCUCCCAAUUUGUAAAAGGGAUUCCAGAGUCCUUUUCUGAGACUGGUUAACAGAAGGGCUGAGCCCCUCACCUGGAGGGGUGAAUUAGGUUAAAGAAUGGAUCUGAGUGCUGUUUGGGUUUUGAGUUUUGUUUUUGCUUUUUGGUCUUUUUAGGGCUGCCUCUGCAGUAUAUGGGCAUAUGGAAGUUCCCAGACUAGGGGUUGAAUCGGAGCUGUAGCUACACCACAGCCACAGCGAUGCAGAAUCCAAGCCGCCUCUGUGACCUACAUCACAGUUCAGAGCAAUAUCAGAUCCUGAACCCACUGACUGAGGCCCGGGAUCGAACCCGUGUCCUCAUGGAUACUAGUCGGGUUCAUUACCACUGAGCCAUGACGGGAACUCCAGAUCUGGCUAUUUCUUGACCUUGCUCUGAUUGCAACAAUGAAAAACAAGUUGCGUGAGCUUAAGUACAGGGAUAAUGAUGGUGAUGAUGAUGACGGGAAGGUGAUGGUGAUGAAAAUUCUGAUGAUAAUGGGGGGAAGAUGACGAUGACGAGGAUACUGAGGCAUUUCAUAGAUUCCAACGAAAAUCUGAACCACCAAGCCAAUAGAAAGCUAGGAAGGCAGGGCGCCUCUCACGUUUUCAGCAAGAAAAGUUGAUCGGUCUUGGUUCUAGGAUCCUGGUGUUACUUACCGCUGCUCUCCACACCCACUCUCCUGAGAGAGACCACAACGACCUCCCCUCCAAUCAUUUUCCCUGUGACUCAAUGCGCCAUGGCCUGAAGGGAUGUGUCACGCAGGGGAAUCAUGAGCGUUUCCCAAAGAACAAUCCCAGGCAACACCACUGGCCUUUACCACGGUCUUCCAAAAACAGAAUAAAAUAGAAUGGAACGCAAGGUCCCAGCAGACCGGCAAACUGAUUCAACCCCCCAGCACCUCCUGUAAGGGCUCAGUGCCUGGGAACACUGGGUUUGGACUUGGAUUGUCCAAACAAUUGAAUUGCCGUCCCCUUACCAAAGUUACUCAUCUGACUUUGAGCAUAUCUCAACUCCCAAGCUCCUCUUUAGUCACCUGUGAAACAGGAUGGUACUAGUACCUACCUCGCAGGUUACUGCAAGGAUGAGAAUACUGGCAUCCACCUAACCCAGGACCACCAGGGAGAGGGAUUCCACCACCUCCCAAGCACUUUUGGGGAAACUUCUGUCUACAGUCCCGGUGGGAAAUUCAAACCCCGUUAACAGACAGCAGCCAGACUGUUCAACUGGAACCUAUUAAGGGAUAAAUAAACCACCCCUUUAAAUCUAAAAGAGCCAUUCCAAGACAAGAUGUCCAGAGUUUUCAAAGGUGUCCCUUAGCAAUGAGGAUUUCUCCAUUGUGCACCCAUGCUAAACUCCCUCCCAUAAAGCCUUGAAAGCCACUCUUGUGCUCCGCUUCUGCUAUAGGAAUUAUUCAAGUGCUCACUCUGCAUAAUGGGGUGAGAAAUUAGUUGAAGUCUGGCUCUCCUGCUCACUCAUUUCCAGCCUCUCCUGCUCAGGGCUGCGGAUGGAAAUAGGGUGUGGAGUUCCACUAGAGGGAAAGCCCUAUGCCCACAGCCACAAGUUACCUAGAGA